UACGUAGGGCGCAAGCGUUGUCCGGAAUUAUUGGGCGUAAAGAGCUCGUAGGCGGCCUGUCGCGUCUGCUGUGAAAUCCCGGGGCUUAACCCCGGGCGUGCAGUGGAUACGGGCUGGCUGGAGGCAGGCAGGGGAGAACGGAAUUCCCGGUGUAGCGGUAAAAUGCGCAGAUAUCGGGAGGAACACCGGUGGCGAAGGCGGUUCUCUGGGCCUGUACUGACGCUGAGGAGCGAAAGCGUGGGGAGCGAACAGG
rnacentral:rRNA from 1 species